rnacentral:rRNA from 1 species
GUUGUAUGGUUAAGUGACUAAGCGUACACGGUGGAUGCCUUGGCAGUUGGAGGCGAUGAAGGACGUACUAACUUGCGAUAAGCCUAGUUGAGCCAGUAAGAGGCACUUGAGACUAGGAUUUCCGAAUGGGGAAACCCGGCCCUUUGGGUCAUCAUGCAGUGAAUACAUAGCUGUAUGAAGCGAACGCGGAGAACUGAAACAUCUAAGUACCCGUAGGAAAAGAAAUCAACCGAGAUUCCGAAAGUAGCGGCGAGCGAAAUCGGAUUAGCCCUUAAGCUUUAAUGUAGUUAGUGGAACAUUCUGGAAAGUAUGACGAUACAGGGUGACAGUCCCGUACACGACAACUUAUUUAAAGUGAAAUCGAGUAGGUCGGAGCACGUGAAACUUUGACUGAAUAUGGGGGGACCAUCCUCCAAGGCUAAAUACUCCCAACUGACCGAUAGUGAACCAGUACCGUGAGGGAAAGGCGAAAAGAACCCCUGUGAGGGGAGUGAAAUAGAACCUGAAACCGUGUACGUACAAGCAGUAGGAGCCCCUCGAGGGUGACUGCGUACCUUUUGUAUAAUGGGUCAGCGACUUAUAUUCUGUAGCAAGGUUAACCAUUUAGGGGAGCCGUAGCGAAAGCGAGUCUUAACUGGGCGCUUAAGUUGCAGGGUAUAGACCCGAAACCCGGUGAUCUAGCCAUGGGCAGGUUGAAGGUCAGGUAACACUGACUGGAGGACCGAACCCACUAACGUUGAAAAGUUAGGGGAUGACCUGUGGCUAGGAGUGAAAGGCUAAUCAAACCGGGAGAUAGCUGGUUCUCCCCGAAAUCUAUUUAGGUAGAGCCUCGGACGAAUACUUACGGGGGUAGAGCACUGUUAAGGCUAGGGGGUCAUCCCGACUUACCAACCCUUUGCAAACUCCGAAUACCGUAAAGUACUAUCCGGGAGACACACGGUGGGUGCUAACGUCCAUCGUGGAGAGGGAAACAACCCAGACCGUCAGCUAAGGUCCCAAAGUGUAUGUUAAGUGGGAAACGAUGUGGGAAGGCUAAAACAGCUAGGAGGUUGGCUUAGAAGCAGCCAUCCUUUAAAGAAAGCGUAAUAGCUCACUAGUCGAGUCGGCCUGCGCGGAAGAUGUAACGGGGCUAAACAUACCACCGAAGCUACGGCUGCGAACUUAGUUCGCGGGGUAGGGGAGCGUUCUGUAAGCGGCUGAAGGUGAACUGUAAGGUUUGCUGGACGUAUCAGAAGUGCGAAUGCUGACAUGAGUAACGAUAAUGCGGGUGAAAAACCCGCACGCCGGAAGACCAAGGGUUCCUAUCCCAUGUUAAUCAGGGUAGGGUGAGUCGACCCCUAAGGCGAGGCUGAAGAGCGUAGUCGAUGGGAAACGGGUUAAUAUUCCCGUACUUGGUAUAAAUGCGAUGGGGGGACGGAGCAGGCUAGGCAAGCAUGGCGUUGGUUGUCCAUGUGAAAGGCUGUAGGCUGGUGACUUAGGAAAAUCCGGGUCGCUAAGGCUGAGAGUCGAGACGAGCCACUACGGUGGUGAAGUUGUUGAUGCCCUACUUCCAGGAAAAGCCUCUAAGCUUCAGUUUAUAUCGAAUCGUACCCUAAACCGACACAGGUGGUCAGGUAGAGAAUACUAAGGCGCUUGAGAGAACUCGGGUGAAGGAACUAGGCAAAAUUGUACCGUAACUUCGGGAGAAGGUACGCUCUUACUUGUGAAGACUUCGCGUCGUAAGCAGGCGAGAGCCGCAGUGACCAGGUGGCUGGGACUGUUUAUUAAAAACACAGCACUGUGCAAAAUCGUAAGAUGACGUAUACGGUGUGACACCUGCCCGGUGCCGGAAGGUUAAUUGAUGGGGUUAGCUUAGGCGAAGCUCUUGAUCGAAGCCCCGGUAAACGGCGGCCGUAACUAUAACGGUCCUAAGGUAGCGAAAUUCCUUGUCGGGUAAGUUCCGACCUGCACGAAUGGUGUAACCAUGGCCACGCUGUCUCCACCCGAGACUCAGUGAAAUUGAAAUCGCAGUGAAGAUGCUGUGUACCCGCGGCUAGACGGAAAGACCCCGUGAACCUUUACUACAGCUUGGCACUGAACAUUGACCCUACAUGUGUAGGAUAGGUGGGAGGCUUUGAAGCGCAGUCGCUAGAUUGCGUGGAGCCGUCCUUGAAAUACCACCCUUGUAGUGUUGAUGUUCUAACUUAGGCCCCUAAUCGGGGUUGAGGACAGUGCCUGGUGGGUAGUUUGACUGGGGCGGUCUCCUCCCAAAGAGUAACGGAGGAGCACGAAGGUUGGCUAAGUACGGUCGGACAUCGUACGGUUAGUGUAAUGGUAGAAGCCAGCUUAACUGCGAGACAGACACGUCGAGCAGGUACGAAAGUAGGUCAUAGUGAUCCGGUGGUUCUGAAUGGAAGGGCCAUCGCUCAACGGAUAAAAGGUACUCCGGGGAUAACAGGCUGAUACCGCCCAAGAGUUCAUAUCGACGGCGGUGUUUGGCACCUCGAUGUCGGCUCAUCACAUCCUGGGGCUGAAGUCGGUCCCAAGGGUAUGGCUGUUCGCCAUUUAAAGUGGUACGCGAGCUGGGUUUAGAACGUCGUGAGACAGUUCGGUCCCUAUCUGCCGUGGGCGUUUGAGAAUUGAGAGGGGCUGCUCCUAGUACGAGAGGACCGGAGUGGACGAACCGCUGGUGUUCGGGUUGUCAUGCCAAUGGCAUUGCCCGGUAGCUACGUUCGGAAUCGAUAACCGCUGAAAGCAUCUAAGCGGGAAGCGAGCCUCGAGAUGAGUUCUCACUUUGACUUUAAGUCAACUGAAGGGCCGUUGAAGACUACAACGUUGAUAGGCGAGAUGUGGAAGUGGUGUGAGCCAUUGAGCUAACUCGUACUAAUUACCCGUGAGGCUUAACCAUACAACGCCAAAGUGGUUU